ACUGAAUUGUGCAAUUGAAAUGUUUCCUCUUGGCAUGAAUAUAGCCCCUGCUGCUGACAUGGCAUUAAAUAAUAAAUAAAUAAAUCACAACAUGUUAUAUGUAAGAUAAUUUGUGUAUUAUAAUGGAUUUAUAAUCUGCUAUAUUAUGGCGGUCGUUCUGGACCAGGAACACAACUAGCUAUCAUGAAAUGAACACAACAGGAGGGUAAAUGCUACAGGCUACAAUGGCAGUUAGUGUAACGUGUUAUGUAGUGUUUCAGGCAAUGACAUUGCUUCAGCUAAGUCUCACAAAGGCAUGAGUAAUGCUGAAUGGCUUGCGCGUCUGGAGAGUUUUGCCCAAACAGGAGUUUGGCCAUCUACGCAGGGGAAUAGACCUUCUCCCCGACAAAAAAGAUGGCAUGAGAUAUAUCAGAAGGUAAGUUAUGCAGCUAGAUUCAUGGGCAAACUAACAAACUUUUUUGACAAUACAUUGUGGUAUUUUUAUUUAUAUGUAUGGUUAAGUAAUUACAUGUAAAUACAAUGUUAUAUUGAUAUAAUUAUGAUGACUUAUAGCUGUUUUGAGAUCCAGUGUCAGAGGUAUAAUUCAUGUUCACAGGUAGAAAAGUGCCCUCUGCAAAUGAGGGGACAGACCACUCUUCUGAAGGAAGCACAGACAUGUAUUUGUGGAUUUCACAAGGUAACUUCAAUUAGCCUGGUUCAAGUUGCAUAAAUAGAUAGAUGUGUUUGCAACAUCAAUCUGUCUUUAUAUCUAAAAUCACAUUUGGAAGAUUUUUUUGUACUUUAUGCAUGUGUCACAGGUUCAUCCACCAGUCACAGUGGAAGCAUCACAGAGCACCCCGGCCCAAAGCACACCCUCUGUCAGUGAUGUGUUGUGUCCUGCAAAGAGACCUAAACUGACAUUGUCAAUGUCAAGGUUUGGAGGCUCACAUGUGGCAGCAGCAAAACCUAAUUUGAGCACCCAGAGGAAAACCUCUCAGAUGUUAGAGCACUCCAGUUCAGCUACAGUUUCAUGUCCACCCUCUGAUCCUCAUCCUCCUCCAUCCCCCAAACCUCAUCAGCCCGUCAUCCAGUCCUCCUCUUCCUUCUUCCUUCCUCCACCUCAGAGUUCACAACGCAUCAAAAAAACAGCAACGCCAUCAACUGUUUCUGAGAAUACUGUUGUGAGGAGCCCAGUCUCAUCUCAGCCAGAAGAUCUCCCCCUUCUGUGGCCACAGACAAUGCCACAGCAAGACCAGAAGUGGGUGUCGGAAGCACUUUUUAGGGUUGGUGCAAAGGGAAAGCUGGAGCUGUGUGAAAACCUACAGUUGUGGUAUCAAUCAAUCAAUCAAUCAAUCACCUUUAUUUAUAUAGUGCUUUAAACAAAAUACAUUGCGUCAAAGCACUGAACAACAUUCAUUUGGAAAACAGUGUCUCAAUAAUGCAAAAUGAUAGUUAAUCAAUGAUAGCAAUCAAGUCAAUGAUAUCGCUGUAGAUGAAGUAACCCCAACUAAGCAAGCCAGAGGUGACAGCGGCAAGGAACCGAAACUCCAUCGGUGACAGAAUGGAUAAAAAAACCUUGGGAGAAACCAGGCUCAGUUGGGGGGCCAGUUCUCCUCUGACCAGACGAAACCAGUAGUUCAAUUCCAGGCUGCAGCAAAGUCAGAUUGUGCAGAAGAAUCAUCUGUUUCAUGUGGUCUUGUCCUGGUGGUCCUCUGAGACAAGGUCUUUACAGGGGAUCUGUAUCUGGGGCUCUAGUUGUCCUGGUCUCCACUGUCUUUCAGGGCAGUAGAGGUCCUUUUUGGGUGCUGAUCCACCAUCUGGUCUGGAUACGUACUGGAUCCGGGUGACUGCAGUGACCCUCUGAUCUGGACACAGACUGGAUCUGGUGGCCACGGUGACCUCGGAACAAGAGAGAAACAGACAAAUAUUAGCGUAGAUGUCAUUCUUCUAAUGAUGUAGAAAGUACGGUGUUAUGUGAAGUGUUUCCGGUUCCGGUUUACCUAAUUAAUGCAGCCUAAAAAUCCUUUAACGGAUUUGGAUAUUAAAAGCAUAUUAGUAUGUUAUGUGUAUGCCAGGUUAAAGAGAUGGGUCUUUAAUGUAGAUUUAAACUGCAAGAGUGUGUCUGCCUCCCGAAAAAUGUUAGGUAGGUUAUUCCAGAGUUUAGGCGGCAAAUAGGAAAAGGAUCUGCCGCCCGCAGUUGAUUUUGAUAUUCUAGGUAUUAUCAAAUUGCCUGAGUUUAGAGAACGUAGCGGACGUAGAGGAGUAUAAUGUAAAAGGAGCUCAUUCAAAUACUGAGGUACUAAACCAUUCAGGGCUUUAUAAGUAAUAAGCAAUAUUUUAAAAUCUAUACGAUGUUUGAUAGGGAGCCAGUGCAGUGUGGACAGGACCGGGCUAAUAUGGUCAUACUUCCUGGUUCUAGUAAGAACUCUUGCUGCUGCAUUUUGGACUAGCUGUAGUUUGUUUACCAAGCGUGCAGAACAACCACCCAAUAAAGCAUUACAAUAGUCUAACCUUGAAGUCAUAAAUGCAUGGAUUAACAUUUCUGCAUUUGACAUUGAGAGCAUAGGCCAUAAUUUAGAUAUAUUUUUGAGAUGGAAAAAUGCAGUUUUACAAAUGCUAGAAACGUGGCUUUCUAAGGAAAGAUUGCGAUCAAGUAGCACACCUAGGUUCCUAACUGAUAAUGAAGAAUUGACAGAGCAACCAUCAAGUCUUAGACAGUGUUCUAGGUUAUUACAAGCAGAGUUUUUAGGCCCUAUGAUUAACACCUCUGUUUUUUCUGAAUUUAGCAGUAAGAAAUUACUCGUCAUCCAAUUUUUUAUAUCGACUAUGCAUUCCAUUAGUUUUUCAAAUUGGUGUGUUUCACCGGGCUGCGAGGAAAUAUAGAGCUGCGUAUCAUCAGCAUAACAGUGAAAGCUAACACCACGUUUCCUGAUGAUAUCUCCCAAGGGUAACAUAUAAAGCGUGAAGAGUAGCAGCCCUAGUACUGAGCCUUGAGGUACUCCAUACUGCACUUGUGAUCGAUAUGAUACAUCUUCAUUCACUGCUACGAACUGAUGGCGGUCAUAUAAGUACGAUUUAAACCAUGCUAAUGCACUUCCACUGAUGCCAACAAAGUGUUCAAGUCUGUGUAAAAGAAUGCUGUGGUCAAUUGUGUCAAACGCAGCACUAAGAUCCAAUAAAACUAAUGGAGAGAUACACCCACGAUCAGAUGAUAAGAGCAGAUCAUUUGUAACUCUAAGGAGAGCAGUCUCAGUACUAUGAUACGGUCUAAAUCCUGACUGGAAAUCCUCACAUAUACCAUUUUUCUCUAAGAAGGAAUAUAAUUGUGAGGAUACCACCUUUUCUAGUAUCUUGGACAGAAAAGGGAAAUUCAAGAUCGGUCUAUAAUUAACAAGUUCUCUGGGGUCAAGUUGUGUUUUUUUUAUGAGAGGCUUAAUAACAGCCAGUUUGAAGGUUUUGGGGACAUAUCCUAAUGACAAUGAGGAAUUAAUAAUAGUCAGAAGAGGACCUAUGACUUCUGGAAGCACCUCUUUUAAGAGCUUAGAUGGUAUAGGGUCUAACAUACAUGUUGUUGGUUUAGAUGAUUUAACAAGUUUAUACAAUUCUUCCUCUCCUAUAGUAGAGAAUGAGUGGAACUGUUCCUCAGGGGGUCUAUAGUGCACUGAUGUGAUACUGUAGCUGAUGGCUGAAUGGUUGCAAUUUUAUCUCUAAUAGUAUCGAUUUUAAAAGUAAAGCUGUUAACUGUAUCCAAGACCCUCCAAAUGUGCCGCUCUAUACUGAAACUGGAACUACAAACAAGGGUGGGGUGGUUCUAAAAACCUAUCGUUGUGCCAGAGGCUCCACAUCCCUGGAAUCAUUUCACUGCCACCUAAGCAGAUUUAUUCCAGGUUUGUCAUGUCAGAAUAUACCACAUUUUGUAAUUAAUUCCUGUUUAUCAAGAUAUUUGCAGAUUAAAUUUUCUGUUUUGCAUUUUCUCAAAGCAAUUUUUGGCUUUCUAUUACUUUUUCUAGGGAACAGCGCAAACAGCCUGAACUUCCAGAUUUAUCUCCUGGAAGGUUUAUUACGCUGGAAUCAGGACCGGGCUGAAGCUGCUGUUGCAGAUGGAGGUUCAACUCUGCGCUCUUACACAGGGGAGCUGGUUUCCUCUGUCAAUAAGAACUACAAUAAGUUGUAUGGCAGGAAAUUGGUCCCUAGCUUCACUCCACCUGCAGUAUACACAGGUAAAAA
ensembl:lncRNA